GACGAACGCUGGCGGCGUGCUUAACACAUGCAAGUCGAACGGUAAGGCCCUUCGGGGUACACGAGUGGCGAACGGGUGAGUAACACGUGGGUGAUCUGCCCUGCACUUCGGGAUAAGCCUGGGAAACUGGGUCUAAUACCGGAUAGGACCAUGGACUUCACGGUUUGUGGUGGAAAGCUUUUGCGGUGUGGGAUGGGCCCGCGGCCUAUCAGCUUGUUGGUGGGGUAAUGGCCUACCAAGGCGACGACGGGUAGCCGGCCUGAGAGGGUGUCCGGCCACACUGGGACUGAGAUACGGCCCAGACUCCUACGGGAGGCAGCAGUGGGGAAUAUUGCACAAUGGGCGCAAGCCUGAUGCAGCGACGCCGCGUGAGGGAUGACGGCCUUCGGGUUGUAAACCUCUUUCAAUAGGGACGAAGCGCAAGUGACGGUACCUAUAGAAGAAG
rnacentral:rRNA from 1 species